rnacentral:rRNA from 1 species
UAAUACGUGAGUAACCUGCCCUUGACUCUGGGAUAAGCCUGGGAAACUGGGUCUAAUACUGGAUACUACGUGCCCUCGCAUGGGGGUGUGUGGAAAGGGUUUUACUGGUUUUGGAUGGGCUCACGGCCUAUCAGCUUGUUGGUGGGGUAAUGGCCUACCAAGGCGACGACGGGUAGCCGGCCUGAGAGGGUGACCGGCCACACUGGGACUGAGACACGGCCCAGACUCCUACGGGAGGCAGCAGUGGGGAAUAUUGCACAAUGGGCGAAAGCCUGAUGCAGCGACGCCGCGUGAGGGAUGACGGCCUUCGGGUUGUAAACCUCUUUCAGCACGGAAGAAGCGAAAGUGACGGUACGUGCAGAAGAAGCGCCGGCUAACUACGUGCCAGCAGCCGCGGUAAUACGUAGGGCGCAAGCGUUGUCCGGAAUUAUUGGGCGUAAAGAGCUCGUAGGCGGUUUGUCGCGUCUGCUGUGAAAGCCCGGGGCUUAACCCCGUGGUGUGCAGUGGGUACGGGCAGACUAGAGUGCAGUAGGGGAGACUGGAAUUCCUGGUGUAGCGGUGAAAUGCGCAGAUAUCAGGAGGAACACCGAUGGCGAAGGCAGGUCUCUGGGCUGUUACUGACGCUGAGGA